rnacentral:rRNA from 1 species
GCAAGUCGCACGAGAACGCUUUAGCUUGCUAGAGCUAGUAAAGUGGCGCACGGGUGAGUAACGCGUGGGUAAUCUACCUCCGAAUCGGGGAUAACAUUGCGAAAGCGAUGCUAAUACCGGAUAACAUCUUUUUAACUUCGGUUUAAAAGAUCAAAGGUGGCCUCUACAUGUAAGCUUUUGUUUGGAGAUGAGCCCGCGUACCAUUAGCUUGUUGGUAGGGUAACGGCCUACCAAGGCAACGAUGGUUAGCGGGUCUGAGAGGAUGAUC